UGCAGUCGAGCGGCAGCACGGGUACUUGUACCUGGUGGCGAGCGGCGGACGGGUGAGUAAUGCCUAGGAAUCUGCCUGGUAGUGGGGGAUAACGCUCGGAAACGGACGCUAAUACCGCAUACGUCCUACGGGAGAAAGCAGGGGACCUUCGGGCCUUGCGCUAUCAGAUGAGCCUAGGUCGGAUUAGCUAGUUGGUGAGGUAAUGGCUCACCAAGGCGACGAUCCGUAACUGGUCUGAGAGGAUGAUCAGUCACACUGGAACUGAGACACGGUCCAGACUCCUACGGGAGGCAGCAGUGGGGAAUAUUGGACAAUGGGCGAAAGCCUGAUCCAGCCAUGCCGCGUGUGUGAAGAAGGUCUUCGGAUUGUAAAGCACUUUAAGUUGGGAGGAAGGGCAUUUACCUAAUACGUGAUUGUUUUGACGUUACCGACAGAAUAAGCACCGGCUAACUCUGUGCCAGCAGCCGCGGUAAUACAGAGGGUGCAAGCGUUAAUC
rnacentral:rRNA from 1 species